AUGGACAACCCCACCGUGUUCUUCAACGUUACUGUCGGCAGCGAGCCCUCGGACCACGUCUCCUUCGAGCUGUUUGCAGAAAAGAUUCCAAAGACAGCAGAAAACAUUUGUGCUCUGAGCACUGAAGAGAAAGGAUUUGGUUGUAAGGGUCCCUGCUUUCACAGAAUUAUUCCACGGUUUAUGUGUCAGGGUGGUGACUUCACACACUGUAAUGGCACUGGUGGCAAGUCCAUCUACGGGGAGAAAUUUGAAGAUGAGAACAUUAUCCUGAAGCAUCCAGGUCUCGGUAUCUUGUCCAUGGCAAAUUCCGGACCCAAUACAAACUAUUCCCAGUUUUUCAUCUCCACUGCCAAGACGGGGUGGUUGGAUGGCAAGCAUGUAGUCUUUGGCAAGGUGAAAGAAGGCAUGAAUAUUGUGGAGGCCAUGGAGCUCUUUGGAUCCAGGAAUGUCAAGACCAGCAAGAAGACCACCAUAGAUGACUGUGGACAGCUCUGGUAAGUUUGACUUGUGUUUUACCUUAACCACCAGACCAUUCCUUCUGUAGCUCGGGAGAGCAUCCCUCCACCCCAUUUGCUGGAAGUAUCCUAGAAUCUUUGUGCUUCCACUGCAGUUCCCUUUGGGUUCCAUAUUUUCUUCAUCCCCUUCCAUACCUAGCUGGAUUGCAGAGUUAAGUUUAUGAUUAUGAAAUAAAAACUAAUUAACUAUUGUCUGUCCUUGUUUGAGUUAGGGCAUUCGUGUAGGCCUUACUUGAAACAGAAACAGGUUACUUCUGAAACAUCACUUACAUGCUUGCUUAAUUCUACAUAGUACUUCGUUUUUUUUUACUUUCCAGACCCAGGAAGUCUCAAUGUUUGUUGAGUAGAAUAUUGAAAAUGUAGGCAGGGGCUGGGCAUGGUGGCUCACAACCUGUAAUCCCAACGCUUUGGGAACCUGAGGCAGAAGAUCACUUGAGGAUAGGAGUUGAUAUCAGCCUGAGCAACAUAGUGAGACCCUGUCUCUACAAAAAAUAAUUAGCCCGGCCUGGUGGUGCAUGCCUGUAGGCCUAGCUAAUCAGGAGGCUGAUAUGGUAGGAUUGCUUGA